rnacentral:rRNA from 1 species
UGGGGAAUAUUGGGCAAUGGGCGCGAGCCUGACCCAGCAACGCCGCGUGAAGGAAGAAGGCUUUCGGUUGUAAACUUCUUUUCUCAGGGACGAAGCAAGUGACGGUACCUGAGGAAUAAGCCACGGCUAACUACGUGCC